CAGCAGUGAGGAAGGUGGGUAUGUUAAUAGCAUACUCAUUUUGACGUUAGCUGCAGAAGAAGCACCGGCUAACUCCGUGCCAGCAGCCGCGGUAAUACGGAGGGUGCGAGCGUUAAUCGGAAUUACUGGGCGUAAAGCGCAUGCAGGUGGUUUGUUAAGUCAGAUGUGAAAGCCCGGGGCUCAACCUCGGAAUUGCAUUUGAAACUGGCAAACUAGAGUACUGUAGAGGGGGUAGAAUUUCAGGUGUAGCGGUGAAAAUGCGUAGAGAUCUGAAGGAAUACCGGUGGCGAAGGCGGCCCCCUGGACAGAUACUGACACUCAGAUGCGAAAGCGUGGGGAGCAAACAGGAUUAGAUACCCUGGUCG
rnacentral:rRNA from 1 species